CAGUAGCCGCGGUAAUACGAAGGGUGCAAGCGUUACUCGGAAUUACUGGGCGUAAAGCGUGCGUAGGUGGUGGUUUAAGUCCGUUGUGAAAGCCCUGGGCUCAACCUGGGAAUUGCAGUGGAUACUGGGUCACUAGAGUGUGGUAGAGGAUAGUGGAAUUUCCGGUGUAGCAGUGAAAUGCGUAGAGAUCGGAAGGAACAUCUGUGGCGAAGGCGACUAUCUGGGCCAACACUGACACUGAGGUACGAAAGCAUGGGGAGCAAACAGGAUUAGAUACCCCAGUAGUCCCUGUCUCUUAUAC
rnacentral:rRNA from 1 species